rnacentral:rRNA from 1 species
AUUGAACGCUGGCGGAAUGCUUUACACAUGCAAGUCGAGCGGCAGCACGGGGGCAACCCUGGUGGCGAGCGGCGAACGGGUGAGUAAUACAUCGGAACAUGCCCAGUCGUGGGGGAUAACACUUCGAAAGAAGUGCUAAUACCGCAUACGUCCUGAGGGAGAAAGCGGGGGAUCGCAAGACCUCGCGCGAUUGGAGUGGCCGAUGUCAGAUUAGCUAGUUGGUGGGGUAAAGGCCUACCAAGGCAACGAUCUGUAGCUGGUCUGAGAGGAUGAUCAGCCACACUGGGACUGAGACACGGCCCAGACUCCUACGGGAGGCAGCAGUGGGGAAUUUUGGGCAAUGGGGGCAACCCUGAUCCAGCCAUUCCGCGUGAGUGAAGAAGGCCUUCGGGUUGUAAAGCUCUUUCGGCAGGAACGAAACGGCGAGCUCUAACAUAGCUUGCUAAUGACGGUACCUGAAGAAGAAGCACCGGCUAACUACGUG